rnacentral:rRNA from 1 species
GAUGAACGCUGGCGGCGUGCUUAACACAUGUAAGUCGAACGGAAACGCUCCUGCUUGUACGGGUACUCGAGUGACGAACGAGUGAGUAACACGUAGGUGAUCUGCCCUGCACGUUGAGAUAAGCAUGGAGAACCGGGUCUAAUACCCGAUCGGUCGAUGGAUUGGAUGGAAUUGUGGAACGUUUUUCGGUGUGGGAUGGGCUCGCGGGCUAUCUGCUUGUUGGUGUGGUAAUGGCCUACCACGGCGUCGACGGGCUGCCGGCCUUAGAGGUGGUACGGCCACAAUGGUACUGAGGUACGGCGCAGACGCCUAUGGGGGGCAGCAGUGGGAAAUAUUGCACAAUGGGCGCGAGCCUGAUGCAGCGGCGCCGGGUUGGGGAUGUCGUCUUGCGGGUGGUAAACUCCUUUCGCUAGGGACGAAGCGCAAGUGACGGUACCUGGAGAAGAAGCACCGGCUAACUACGUG